UAUUGUAAAAAUAUCCAAUACAGGGAGUGAAACUUAUAGACAGCUACUUUUUGGGCUGUUUUGUUAUUUUUGGUUUUUUUCUCUAAAAAUAGUUUUUUUCCCAGUUUCACUCAUUGAACAUGUUCACCAGAGGGACCCAUGAGCAUCAUAGCUGGAACACGGGAGGAGGAGGAAAUAAUUUAACAGGGAUUUGAAUUUAUCUCAAUUUAAAUCAUCAUGGAAUUAAAGCCUGGUAAAAACCUUGAUAGCCAGAGAUUUCUUCUAUGAUUAGUGAAAAGGUAAAAGUAGCCUAAAUCACUUUAUAUAUCACCCUAUAUAGAAUUUGAUUUUUCUUUAUUCUUUAUAGAGAGAUCUUGGAGAUACAAUUCUCCUACAGUUGUGUUAUGGACUAAGUUAAACAAGUAAAUUUUGGAAUAAAUUAGAGUUUUAAAUCCAGAUUUUAUAAGUGCAGAUGUUAUGACAUGGCUUCUUCCCAGAUCCAGUAUUCAUGUAACAGAAAUUGUUACAUGUGCUCACGGAUGCAUGUGACAAUGUCUGUUUCUCAUAUACAAAAGUGCCAAAUAUUUAAAUUUGCCUUCCAUUCUGACUCUGAUAGCAUGAUGACUAAGUACAUAUAUUAUCAUAUCUUCUGUGUAUAACCAAACAUUAAUAUAAAUCUACCUGAUUCAUUCAUUGUACAGAGAAAAGGCCUAGAAACUUAUUAAUCUCAUGUUAUCUUGGACAUUAGUAUGCCAUUAUAUUGGGGAAAUUACCAUUAGGUAGUCCAUUUUAUUUAAAGAUUUCUAGUGCUUUGCAAUACAAAUUUUUUGAAAAUUCAGCACAGUCAAAUAAGGGGAAGCUGACAUUUAUAAGAUUAAAUAACCACUCAAUUUGCCCCUACAAAAUGUAGCAUCAGAGAAAGUCAUAAUUCAGGUAUCUUUUAUUCCACUCACUCUGACUGCUGUCUUGUAUAGGAUUGAGUGACUUUACACUUAGGAUAGCACAGUGUGUAUCCAGAAUCAUGUUAUGGAUACUGUGACAGUACUGAAAUAGUCUGUCCUGUCUGUCAUCUGCAGUCGUCUGGCCAGACUGCACCAAUUAAAACUCUACAGUGGGUACAGUUCAAAACCAGUGGGGUUUUUCCAGAAGUGCCAAUGAGCACUGCACCCAGUGGAUUUCUCUCUCACAAUCCUGUAGGCAGCAGUAGGAUUCACUGACAGAGUCACAGGCAAAUUGAUGUAGCCUAACUACAACAAAGUAGUAGUUAACUACUGCAACAAAGUAGUUACUAACUGCAACAAAGGAUUUAAAGGCAUAUAUUUCAAACAAUCAGGAGGACUGGUACUUGUGCUGUGUUACCCACACCCUGUGGGUUGAAACCCGAUACUUCAGCUGUGGCAUGCCUGUACCAGCCUUACCAGCUCUUUCUUUCUGCCUCUAAUGCUCUGUCAGUCUGAUCUGUCAGAAAAACAGGACACAGAUUUCUCUAGCACCCUGUAACACAGACAUGGUACAAUAACAGAUCUCAGAUUUUCAGCGGUAUGAAAAAGUAAUCAGAGGCUAGAGAGCCCAUUUGUCAAUGUGGAGGAGCAUUCCCCCAUCCCUUUGCAGGCCGCACUAUGACCCCAGAAGCUCGUUAGGCCUCAGCCCUGAUGAGCAGCGCCUGGACUCAGCAUCUCGAGUGCCUCAGAAACAUCGUCUGCUCCAGAAACUGCUGCUCUAACAGGCUCUUGGGGUUCUUUAAUUAUGAACAGCCUUGGAAACGACUUUUCUUGCCUGAAUGGCAUAACAGUUUUGUUCUUUCAAAGAAAGUUGCCCAAACCGUGGCCAGGGUGAAACAUUGCUGUGAUUAAGGCCCUUGCUUGCGGCCUAUGGACAGAGAUCCAAAAUGAGGCCCUUGGAGCUCUCCAGGACCAGCACCCUCCCUCUGAGGGGCACCUCCUAGAGCCAGAGAUCUCUUGUUUGCUGUACUCAGAGGUUGCUGAACUACAGUGGAUCCUGGGCUGAAACCCCCACUCCUCGAGGCCCCACCUUUCACUCGUCAGGAGACGCAAAGGCAUCCAAGGUUCUACUAUUUUAUUCUCCACCUCCAAGGCUGCAUGGUGUGCAUGAUAGAAAGACUUUGGACUACUUUAAGAGCUCACAUCCCCAGUGCUACCCCUUUAAAGCAAAUGGAGCUGUACAGGUGGACAGUUCAGAUAUCUCUCAGCUCUUCUUAAAUUGGACUGAACUAGACCUUUUGAACUCACCCGAUAAUUAUGCAUGAAAUUAUUCAACUACCUCCUAGUUCCAAAGACAUUUUGAGCUAUGGACUGCCCUGUUAAUGAUUUCCCCAUCCUU